rnacentral:lncRNA from 1 species
CAGCCUGGUCUACAAAGUGAGUUCCAGGACAGCCAGAGCUACACAGAGAAAAGCUGCCUCGAAAAACAGGAAAACAACAACAACAACAAAAAGAAUACAGUUGAUAAUGCAAAACAAACAAAACCAAAAAACACAUCACUGAAGAGUGACAUGCACACUGUGAGUUUAUAGAACUUAAAUAUAUGGUUCAGUGGGGGCGGGGGGAAUACAUUCCUAAUCACCCGGAAGUUGCCUGAUGUCCCUGCCAAGUCCACAUCCACACUUUCCCAGCCAGAGGUGCGCAGGAGUCAGACCAUGCCGAUUCUUCUUGAGAGUUAUGGAGCUGUGUAUAAACAGGGUCUCCAGGCCCAGAUCCGCUGUGUACAGGUUCUUUCUCAGCAUCGUGCCUGUGCAACUUCUUUGUAGUGACUGUGUGGAUUUUUAACUUGCAGGGAAAUACUCCAUUAUGUGCUAUAUACAAUGCAACCUGGUACCUUUUGUUUACCCAGCUUUCCGUUUGUACUUGGGCCUUUUUUCUUCUUCUCCUGUGUGGGGGCAAUUACAGAUAGGGCAUUUCCUACACUCAGGGCUUCUGUUCCAUGCCUGGCAUUGUCCUAUUGUGUUCCGGUCCUGGCCGUCUGUCCUGCUUUCCUCCCUCUCUGGGAACCUAUUUGGCUGCUGGGACUUAGGGUGUGUGACCUGGACCUUUGAUGGUCCUAUGGGGUCUCACACUACCUUGGAAGGCCAAGCUGUGGCUCUUAGUCCCUUAGAGCUGUGGCUCUAAGCUGUGACAGUCUUAGUCUGGGGAGACUGAGACUUGCUUCAUGGGCUUGCUUCUCUAUUCUUGCUGAUGCUAACAUCUGUGGACCACCUUUUAGCACUGGUUGCUCUUGCCUAACUCUUGUCUGCAUCCCUUGGCUGUCAGCCAGUUGGGAGGCUUCUUGUAUGCCUCCAAUGAGCCUUCAAGGAUGCUUCUGGAACUGGGAUAUUUAUCAGAGACAGAUCAGGAAAGCCAGCACCAUUACACAUGCAGCUCUGUGCUGCCUUGGGGACACAUUCUUGGCUGUCUUCCCAAAACGUUCGUGGUAUGGUACUGUCUGUCAGUAUUAACAAGCAUGGGUGUCCCUAAAUGUUUUUAUCUUUGUGUGUGUGUGUGUACUUGGGUGCACACAACUAGUAGUAUGUGCAUUCCUGCAUAUAAGUAUGCAUUUAUUUGAUUUGUACGUUAUCAUAAAAUAUUUUCUCUUUGCUAGGCAUGAUGGUCUGUGUGUAUAAUCUCAGAGUCCAGGAGGCUGGGGCAGGUAUCUUCUCCACUUCCUUCCUUGUCCCCUCAAAGAUGUUGACUAACAUCAAGGCAACACCUUCUUUGUAGAUGAAAGAGGUAAGAUCCAUGUUUAUUCUGCCCCUUCCCAUGGCAUAGCCACAGGCAACAGAUACCUUAGCUCCUGCCAUAGGCAGGGAACAUGGGCUUGAGCUAUGUUUGGAAGGGGCAGGAUCUGGGGGACCCCCACUUAAUGCUGUAGGUGAUAAAGUGCUUGGAAGGGAUGGUGAAUGUCUGUUGACCAAGCAUGCAAAUCUGAGUUGUAACAUGUUACUUUUAGCUGUGUUGAUCUUGAGAAAACUACUCUCUGUGCUUCCGUGUCUCAAAGAAGUCAUCUCUGGUUGCG